AGCACCGCUACUUGUGGAACACGUGUUGUAUCUUGGAGAUACCUCUCUCUCUCUCUUGACAAAAUCAUUCUGCCUCUCUCUCUUCUUCUCUUCCGAUGAAACCUUCAUCAAGACGAAGAUCAAAGCAACAAAGCAAUAAAUACGCAUUUUUCCUUCUCGUCGUUAGAUAUUUUUGAUUUUUGUUCUGAACCAAAACGAGAGACAAAGAGAUACCACAUAAGACGCGAAAAGGAGACAAAGAUUCGUACAAGCACACUGAACGGAUCAAAAAAAUCGAUUCGAUUCAUCUCCGCAAAAGAAACAUAUUUGAUUCUGAGUUCUCAUCCCCAAUAGAUUGUGGUGUUUCUGGGAAAACAUCAAAUGGCGGUUUAUGAUCAUAGUGAAAACAUUAUGUUCAGGCUUCUCACUCAAUCGUUUCUCUGCAGUGCUAACAACGAUGAGGAGGUUCCUCUCCAAACUCACUCCCAGGCAAAUGGCUUUCACGAAUUCGAACUCUUUCUUGGUAAAUCUCAGUACCAAGAAACAUCACUACUACAAUCAAUGCAGCUCAAGUUGAUCAGACAAACCUGAAAGCUCAGUUUCGUCUUCCCAUUGCAUACCAUGGAAGGGCAUCAUCUAUUGUCAUCUCAGGGACUGACAUUAUUCGACCAAGGUUAGGUCAGUUUCUUCCUUUGGUUUGUUUUGAGUUUGGAUUCUUCUUUUAGUUUGUUUUGAGUUUGGAUAAUCCUUCCAUUAUAAUAGAAUAAGGUUCAAGAAGAUGUUGACAAAAAAAAAAGGUCCAAGAAGUUAGAUUAUUUAGUCGUUUGAUGAUUGUGUUUUGAAACAUGCAUGUGAAUAAAAAAUCCUGAGGUUAUUCGAUAACAUUCAUAUGAUUGAUUGAGUUUCAUAAGUUAGCUUCCUUUUCAUCAUAAUGUUUCAUAAUUUAUUUUUUAAGAACCUCAAAAUAAACAACUUGCAUUGGAAAACAAUAAUUUAUAGAUUUUUUAAAUUAAGUGCUAACAUCUAUUUAUUAUUAAAAAGUGAUUAAGCAUUUCAUUAGGGAUGGUAGGGUUAAUGGUGCUCUGAUUAUGUAUUAACUUUUACUCGAAAUUUUAGCAAUGAACAUUUUUUUUGUUAGCUAAAAUUUGGUUGAACAUAUCUUAUUACGCAAUCAAAAACAAGAAAUUAAAGUUGGUCUGCUGUCAUUUCAUCAUAAAUUGGUAUCCGAAUUUUCUUGGACAUGUGGUCCGUAAUCUGUCAUGUUUAAACUAACUGAUGAUUAUAUUUGUGGCGGCUUUAGUUUAAGUCAUCUCUCUCAAAAUAUUUGUUUUUCCUAAUUUUAAAUCAAUAAUUUUCAUAUUUUCAAGAAGAAAAAAGUUUAUAAGUUAGUUAUUAUACAUUCGCAAGAGUGGAUAUACAUUUAAGACAACAUUUUAGUAUUGUGUACACAUAAUACGUACUCUUAUACACUUGUUGAUGGUUCUUAUUAUUAUAUAUUAUCACUGAUGCCAUUUUCUUUUUUCGAAA